AUGUCGAAGCAAGGGAAGGCCAAGCCGCUCAAGCAGGCCAAGGUCGCCGAGAAGGACUAUGACGAGAAUGACCUGGCAUACCUCCAGAAGAAGAAGGAUGAGCAAAAGGCCCUGAAGGAGCUGAAGGCCAAGGCAGGCCAGAAGGGUGCGCUGGGAGGAUCCGGUCUCAAGAAGAGUGGGAAGAAAUGA
rnacentral:rRNA from 1 species